UUUUAAACAGGUGUUUAGGAUAGUUCUACAAGUUCUCAUUUUUCAAGAUAUUGUGCUUCAUGCUUGCCCCUUGUUUUUUUCAUCCGGAUUCGCUGAACAGUGUUUAGGAUUUUUCUACAAUUGUAGGAUCAAAAUUUUGUUUACUCAGCUGUAUUUGAAUGCCUGUAACAAAAUGUAGAAAUAAAAUUUGUGGUCUUAGUUGGUUUGACUUGAGAAAUGUGAGUUUUGGGGGAGAACUUGGAGAGGAGGGCCGAACAUAUGAUGUUUGAAGUGUGAAUAAACAGGUUUCAGCUGAGGGUUCAUACAUUCCGAUUGUGAAUUACAAUGAAUAAGCUCUGCAAAAUAAAUUAAAACCAGCGGAACUAAUAAACUUAACCUUUAUUGAAAUAAUUAAACCUAAUCUUAUCUAAUCUAAACAUUCUUAAUUGGAAUUAAACUUUAUUUUAAAUUUCUAUCUCUAUUACUCUAUCUCCAUCUUUAUCAUUCACCUUCGACAUGUUAGCUUUGUUCACAAAUGCUUUGUACGUUGAAAUGUGAUCCACAAAGUUUCUUGGGCUUUCACAGCCUUUAGGUUGUCUGGCCAGUCAAUUGUUGUUUUGUCACAAAGCGGACCUUUGAGUGGAAUAUGGCUUCUUAACCAUGAUGCAAGAUGGUGAUAAUAUUAUAUGACCUUGUUUUUGAGGUUGUGCCUACUCAGAGUCAAUGAAUUUGUAUCAUAAACUGUUCCAAAUCGUUUUUCUUGUGCUUAUAUUAUUUAUAUUCCAGUACUUAAUGCCCCUAACUUCUCUUUGGAUGAUAACCCUGAUGAUGUUAAGGAUGUUAACAGUAUUUUCAGCCUGUUUUACCUCUAGUUUUUCAAGUACUUGGAUGAGCUGCUUGUUAUGGACAUUUUGUAAUAUGUGUGGACAUAUUUGUUUUACUGCAUAUUAUUGAUUAAAUGUUUAGGGAGUUUUCGUUGAUUUUCUUCUCCCAAACACCCUAGGUCUCUGCAAAUUUCACAACGAAUUUUGAUAUCAUCCGAAAUCUGUCUGGAAUGUUGCUGUUCUUGCUAAUUUCCCGAAUUGGUUAUUGUGUACUUCGAAGUAUUCAUCUUCUGAAAUUCAAGGAAAUAUGUGCGUGCAUUUGGUACACAAUUUACCACAAUGGUUUUCAUGAUGUUAUCUAUUAUGCAUGUUUGAGCCACAUUAUUCCAAAAAAAUACAUUCUUAAACAGUGAUUUGACAUCAUUUCAAC
rnacentral:lncRNA from 1 species